GGGGUCGACUGGUUUUGACAGCGAGUGGAAUUGGGAAGUAAGCACGUCGAGAACUGGGACAAUUCUCGUUAAUAAAAGGUUUCACAACUUUACACGGCGAAAAUAAUUACGCUUUAGCUGCUUAAUCUGAAUUAUAGUAAGAUUUGCCUAGUUCCUACCAGGUAGGAAAGCUAGAUUCUCCUCAAAAGCCUUGGUUUAUGGCGUUUGGAUUUGGGGAACCGUAAAAGUAAACCUAGGAACGGUAAUGCUUUAAAUCCGUUCUGACACUGAUAAAGCUAAGCAAAAAGUGGCUGUUUCUGGCCUUGCUUUUUGUCGAAAAUUCAAUCAGAAAAUAAGCGUGUAGAAAGCUCUUCGAUUGCUUGUUUGGACGAGAGUUCGAUUCUCUCCGACUCCACAA
rfam:Flavobacterium cauense R2A-7 FCR2A7T_4, whole genome shotgun sequence.